rnacentral:lncRNA from 1 species
CGGUGGUAAUAGAAACAGCAUUGCGUACCUAAAAACAACAGAUGCACAGUUGCAAAAAUGAAACAAAUUAAUCAAAAACGAGUCACUAAGGGUUUGAGAAAUCGGAACACAUACCCACUCAGACUCAAGAAAACGAGGUCCUCUAAUAUCGGAAAAAAGAAUGGGAGGGGAAGAAAAAAAGAGAGUUUAGAGGAAAGAAAGAAAACGAUGGGUGGUGAUCAGGGAUCACCCUACCAAUCGAAAAGCAUCGGGCAACGAGUGAAGGAAGAGUUUCACGAGGUAGCGACCCACCGGUGAAGAGAGGGAAAAGAGACCAAAGGGGAAGAAAAAAGAGAUGAAAGAAAAGAGACAAUGGAGGAAGAAAAGGGAGUGGCCGCAGCUGGCGACAAAAGUUGGGCAAAAAGUUCUCUUCAGGAUUACAAAAUGGAGAGACUAGAUGGUUAAUAUAUUU